GAUGAACGCUGGCGGCGUGCCUAAUACAUGCAAGUCGAGCGAACAGAUGAGGAGCUUGCUCCUCUGACGUUAGCGGCGGACGGGUGAGUAACACGUGGAUAACCUACCUAUAAGACUGGGAUAACUUCGGGAAACCGGAGCUAAUACCGGAUAAUAUAUUGAACCGCAUGGUUCAAUAGUGAAAGACGGUUUUGCUGUCACUUAUAGAUGGAUCCGCGCCGCAUUAGCUAGUUGGUAAGGUAACGGCUUACCAAGGCGACGAUGCGUAGCCGACCUGAGAGGGUGAUCGGCCACACUGGAACUGAGACACGGUCCAGACUUCUACGGGAGGCAGCAGUAGGGAAUCUUCCGCAAUGGGCGAAAGCCUGACGGAGCAACGCCGCGUGAGUGAUGAAGGUCUUCGGAUCGUAAAACUCUGUUAUUAGGGAAGAACAAAUGUGUAAGUAACUAUGCACGUCUUGACGGUACCUAAUCAGAAAGCCACGGCUAACUACGUG
rnacentral:rRNA from 1 species